UGUGUGUAUGCACGGGUGUGUUUAACUUGUUAAAAAGCCUUAAAAGUAGGAGCUAGCAGUAAAUCCUCUUUUGCAACCCAGAAUUCAUACUUGAGUAUGAAUUUUUGGUACAUGUAAGAAAUAUUAUU